AACGAACGCUGGCGGCAUGCCUAACACAUGCAAGUCGAACGAGAUCUUCGGGUCUAGUGGCGCACGGGUGCGUAACGCGUGGGAAUCUGCCCUUUGGUUCGGAAUAACAGUUGGCAACGACUGCUAAUACCGGAUGAUGACGAAAGUCCAAAGAUUUAUCGCCAGAGGAUGAGCCCGCGUAGGAUUAGCUAGUUGGUGUGGUAAAGGCGCACCAAGGCGACGAGCCUUAGCUGGUCUGAGAGGAUGAUCAGCCACACUGUGACUGAGACACGGCCCAGACUCCUACGGGAGGCAGCAGUGGGGAAUAUUGGACAAUGGGCGAAAGCCUGAUCCAGCAAUGCCGCGUGAGUGAUGAAGGCCUUAGGGUUGUAAAGCUCUUUUACCCGGGAUGAUAAUGACAGUACCGGGAGAAUAAGCUCCGGCUAACUCCGUGCCAGCCGCCGCCUAAC
rnacentral:rRNA from 1 species